GGCGAGUUACGAUUUGAUGCAAGGUUAAGCAGUAAAUGUGGAGCCGUAGCGAAAGCGAGUCUGAAUAGGGCGUUUAGUAUUUGGUCGUAGACCCGAAACCAGGUGAUCUACCCUUGGUCAGGUUGAAGUUCAGGUAACACUGAAUGGAGGACCGAACCGACUUACGUUGAAAAGUGAGCGGAUGAACUGAGGGUAGCGGAGAAAUUCCAAUCGAACCUGGAGAUAGCUGGUUCUCUCCGAAAUAGCUUUAGGGCUAGCCUCAAGUGAUGAUUAUUGGAGGUAGAGCACUGUUUGGAC
rnacentral:rRNA from 1 species